rnacentral:rRNA from 1 species
GAUGAACGCUGGCGGCGUGCCUAAUACAUGCAAGUCGAGCGAACAGAUGAGGAGCUUGCUCCUCUGACGUUAGCGGCGGACGGGUGAGUAACACGUGGAUAACCUACCUAUAAGACUGGGAUAACUUCGGGAAACCGGAGCUAAUACCGGAUAAUAUAUUGAACCGCAUGGUUCAAUAGUGAAAGACGGUUUUGCUGUCACUUAUAGAUGGAUCCGCGCCGCAUUAGCUAGUUGGUAAGGUAACGGCUUACCAAGGGAACGAUGCGUAGCCGACCUGAGAGGGUGAUCGGCCACACUAGAACUGAGACACGGUCCAGACUCCUACGGGAGGCAGCAGUAGGGAAUCUUCCGCAAUGGGCGAAAGCUUGACGGAGCAACGCCGCGUGAGUGAUGAAGGUCUUCGGAUCGUAAAACUCUGUUAUUAGGGAAGAACAAAUGUGUAAGUAACUAUGCACGUCUUGACGGUACCUUAUCAGAAAGCCACGGCUAACUACGUG